CUGAGUGUCACUGAUCUGCAGAGGCAUAAUCACUCUGGGGGAGUGGGGGUCGUGGGUUCGAAUCCCGCCGCUCCGACCA
rnacentral:tRNA from 1 species